CAAAAGAGCCUCCUAGAAGGCCUUGUCUACUGAGGACCUAAAGUCUUCUUUCUUGGGAGUCUUGAGGAAGCGGCAAUGGACAUCACAAGCACCGUUAUGUGGAUUUACAAUAACUGCAGACAUGAGAAUCCCAUAGACUGUUGAUGUGGGGACUGUGAUCGAGGCCAUGAAACUUUGCCAAUGUCAUCUCGUCCAUCAUGCUCUACUUACGGAUGCUCUUCAUCAACUACAGGAAUGUGUGUUAACCCCUCUUGGUACCAGGACAACAGCCUAGGUCAAACCAAGGACCUAAUGGUGGACUACAGGAGACUGGAGCAAGAGGAGCACACACCCGUCUACCCCUCUCACUACAAAGAACUUUACUCUACUGUAACUGACCCUUGGCAGAUGGGUUGGGCCCUUGAGUCGUGGAUCUGUCU